UGUGUACCUGAUGGGUAUGAAGAGUUAAGGACAUAUGCUGGGAUGAUAACUGUUCAAACCAGAGGAUCAAAUGAACCUUAUUGUUUCUCUGAGCUGUCCAGCAGAGGGCUGGCCAUUUCAGGACACACAGUUUGGGGAAGAUUCUGCACUGGAGAAACAGCAACCCCCAGGAUGAAGCUCUGGCCAGCCAAAGGCAAGGCAAAGUCAGCUGAAGGUGCUAUCUGAAGAACCAAAGGGGGAAACUACCUGAAGCCAAUGCAUGUUCAGCUUACCUGGCCAAUCCCAC